CGGGCUUGAACUGCAGAGGAAUGCGAUGGAGACAUCAAAGCCCUUCGGGGUCUCUGUGGAGGUGCUGCAUGGUUGUCGUCAGCUCGUGCCGUGAGGUGUCGGCUUAAGUGCCAUAACGAGCGCAACCCCUUCCGGCAGUUGCCAUCAGGUUAUGCUGGGCACUCUGCCGGUACUGCCGCCGCAAGGUGUGAGGAAGGUGGGGAUGACGUCAAAUCAGCACGGCCCUUACGUCCGGGGCUACACACGUGUUACAAUGGCGCGUACAGAGGGUCGGCGGCCGGCAACGUCCGUCCAAUCCUUAAAGCGCGCCUCAGUUCGGACUGGGGUCUGCAACCCGACCCCACGAAGCUGGAUUCGCUAGUAAUCGCGCAUCAGCCAUGGCGCGGUGAAUACGUUCCCGGGCC
rnacentral:rRNA from 1 species